AGUCAUAUCCUUUGAUUCAAGCAGCAUCCAGAGGUCAUGAAGAUACCGUUCGACUUCUUUUGAGAAAUGGAGCUGAUUGGAAUCAGCUGCAGGAUUUGAAGGCGAAACUAGCAAGUGGCCAAGCAAAUAGUGAGGAUCGGAGCCUCUACAGGGAUCUUAAUAAGGAUCAGAUUGCCAACAUCAAGGAGAAAUUAUCGUUAUCAUCGAAGUCAGAAAUCCAAGAACAUUUGUCUGAACAGACACGGCAAGAAAGAGAAGAGCAGCAGCACAACCAGCAGCAGCAGCAGCAACAACAACAAC